ACUCCUACGGGAGGCAGCAGUGGGGAAUAUUGCGCAAUGGGGGAAACCCUGAUGCAGCAACGCCGCGUGAGUGAUGAAGGCCUUCGGGUUGUAAAGCUCUGUCUUUGGGGACGAUAAUGACGGUACCCAAGGAGGAAGCCACGGCUAACUACGUGCCAGCAGCCGCGGUAAU
rnacentral:rRNA from 1 species